AUUGAACGCUGGCGGCAUGCCUUACACAUGCAAGUCGAACGGCAGCAUGAUCUAGCUUGCUAGAUUGAUGGCGAGUGGCGAACGGGUGAGUAAUACAUCGGAACGUGCCCUGUAGUGGGGGAUAACUAGUCGAAAGAUUAGCUAAUACCGCAUACGACCUGAGGGUGAAAGUGGGGGACCGCAAGGCCUCAUGCUAUAGGAGCGGCCGAUGUCUGAUUAGCUAGUUGGUGGGGUAAAGGCCCACCAAGGCGACGAUCAGUAGCUGGUCUGAGAGGACGAUCAGCCACACUGGGACUGAGACACGGCCCAGACUCCUACGGGAGGCAGCAGUGGGGAAUUUUGGACAAUGGGGGCAACCCUGAUCCAGCAAUGCCGCGUGUGUGAAGAAGGCCUUCGGGUUGUAAAGCACGUUUGUCCGGAAAGAAAUCGCACUUACUAAUAUUAGGUGUGGAUGACGGUACCGGAAGAAUAAGGACCGGCUAACUACGUG
rnacentral:rRNA from 1 species